AGCUUUGCGCAGUGGCAGUAUCGUAGCCAAUGAGGUUUUUCCGAGGCGGGAUUAUUGCUAAUUAAAAUUUGAGACAACCUAGUAGUCUUUGGCAUUUCAUUACAAUCACUCUGGUCUUAGUUUUCUCACUCUCACAAUGGAG